rnacentral:rRNA from 1 species
AGCAGUAGCCGCGGGAAUACCGAGGGUGCGAGCGUUAAUCGGAUUUACUGGGCGUAAAGCGUGCGUAGGCGGCUUCUUAAGUCGGAUGUGAAAUCCCUGAGCUUAACUUAGGAAUUGCAUUCGAUACUGGGAAGCUAGAGUAUGGGAGAGGAUGGUAGAAUUCCAGGUGUAGCGGUGAAAUGCGUAGAGAUCUGGAGGAAUACCGAUGGCGAAGGCAGCCAUCUGGCCUAAUACUGACGCUGAGGUACGAAAGCAUGGGGAGCAAACAGGAUUAGAGACCCGCGUAGUCCCUGUCUCUUAUAC